rnacentral:rRNA from 1 species
ACAAUGGGCGCAAGUCUGAUGGAGCAACACCGCGUGAGUGAAGAAGGGUUUCGGCUCGUAAAGCUCUGUUGUUAAAGAAGAACACGUAUGAGAGUAACUGUUCAUACGUUGACGGUAUUUAACCAGAAAGUCACGGCUAACUACGUGCCAGCAGCCGCGGUAAUACGUAGGUGGCAAGCGUUAUCCGGAUUUAUUGGGCGUAAAGAGAGUGCAGGCGGUUUUCUAAGUCUGAUGUGAAAGCCUUCGGCUUAACCGGAGAAGUGCAUCGGAAACUGGAUAACUUGAGUGCAGAAGAGGGUAGUGGAACUCCAUGUGUAGCGGUGGAAUGCGUAGAUAUAUGGAAGAACACCAGUGGCGAAGGCGGCUACCUGGUCUGCAACUGACGCUGAGACUCGAAAGCAUGGGUAGCGAACAGGAUUAGAUACCCUGGUAG